GAGCCAAAGGCAUAAGUUGCUGCCUCUCUCUGCCUCCAAUCUGGUUUUGUAAUAUUUUCUUCAAUAAAUGGCAUUACAAGUGGGACAAUAUCAUCUCCCACAGUUCGUGCAACCAAACCAAGACAUGUACCACCAGCCAUUGCAAUGUUCCAAGCACCUUCAUCUUGAUCUUGGUCCUCCUCUUGCUUUAGAAGCGUCUCCAACAGCAUUGGGACAAGAGCAGGAAGUGCCUGCUUAAUAAAAUAAAAGCAAGGAAUAUCAGAGUCCCCAGUGAAAUCAUCCCCAUAUUCUUCCAAUAUUUCUAUCUCCUCAUCACAAAUUGAGCUCCAAAACUCAAUUGCUUGAAGAGCCACAGGUUCCUCAUCUUCCCUCACAGCCUUUGCUGUGAUGCUAAAGAUGUCCUGGAUAUAAGGCGUUAAUUUCUCAUAAUAACUUGAUGAAAUCGAGACCAAACACUCAAAAGCAGCCUGCCGUAUCUUCACUUCUGGAGACAGAGUUGCCUCACAGACAACUCUCAUGAUAUAAUCACGCUCCAUAUCAUUGGAAAAAUUUGCUUGUGCAAAGCCUAAUGCAUUGUAUAGUGCUCGGGUGGCUGCAAGCCUAACAUCAUUGUUUCCUUCAGACGCAUUCAUACCCUGAACUACUGCUGUAAGUAUUUUAUUCACUUGGUCUUGAUCUAUAACAUCAGGAGAGACUUCCUCACAUAAAUAUCCAAGAGUCUCUAAAGUGGCUUGCUUGACAUGAGAAGGAAGCUGGUGAAUAUUUGAUAAAAGUGAUACUAUCAGCUCAGGCCAUUGUUUCUGAGGUAAUUCAAUACCUGCGAUCUUGGCAAUGACUUGAGAGGCAGUUGACCGAGCAUCAACUACAGGAGAGGAAAGAGUCUUUAACAAACAUGCCUUGAUUUGGCUUUUCACAUUGUUGUCCAGUGACAACCAUCUUUGAAC
rnacentral:misc_RNA from 1 species